rnacentral:rRNA from 1 species
CUGGCUCAGAAUGAACRCUGGCGGCGUGCCUAACACAUGCAAGUCGGAUGUGCCCGCAAGGUGCAUGGCAGACGGGUGAGUAACGCGUAGGAGACCUACCUUUUUGUGGGGAAUAACGUUCCGAAAGGGACGAUAAUACCGCAUGAGACCACAGGAUUGGAUGCCUGUGGUGAAAGCCGGGGACCGUAAGGCCUGGCGCAAGAAGAGGGUCCUGCGUCUGAUUAGCUAGUUGGCGGGGUAACGGCCCACCAAGGCGACGAUCAGUAGCCGGCCUGAGAGGGUGAUCGGCCACACUGGAACUGAGACACGGUCCAGACUCCUACGGGAGGCAGCAGUGGGGAAUUUUGCGCAAUGGGCGAAAGCCUGACGCAGCAACGCCGCGUGGGUGAUGAAGGUCUUCGGAUUGUAAAACCCUGUCGUCAGGGACGAAGGCAUGGGAUUGAAUAUUUCCUAUGCUUGACGGUACCUGGAGAGGAAGCCCCGGCUAACUCUGUGCCAGCAGCCGCGGUAAUACAGAGGGGGCAAGCGUUAUUCGGAAUUAUUGGGCGUAAAGGGCGCGUAGGCGGUUCUUUAAGUGAGAUGUGCAAUCCCCGGGCUCAACCUGGGAACUGCAUCUCAUACUGGAGAGCUAGAGUGCUGGAGAGGGUGGUAGAAUUCCACGUGUAGCGGUGAAAUGCGUAGAGAUGUGGAGGAAUACCAGUGGCGAAGGCGGCCACCUGGACAGUAACUGACGCUGAGGCGCGAAAGUGUGGGUAGCAAACAGGAUUAGAUACCCUGGUAGUCCACGCUGUAAACGAUGAACACUUGGUGUGGUGGGAGUUGACCCCUGCCGUGCCGGAGCUAACGCGUUAAGUGUUCCGCCUGG